UGAAUACGAGACGCUAAGGCGUCGAAGUAGUGUAUGUCAUACUUCCAAGAAAAGCUUGCACUGUCAUAGAUAAAAAACGCCUGUACCAUAACCGACACAGGUGGGUAGGUAGAGUAUACUAAGGGGCGCGAGAUAACUCUCUCUAAGGAACUCGGCAAAAUAACUCCGUAACUUCGGGAGAAGGAGUGCCUUAUUCUUAAGGUUGCAAUAACAAGAUCCAAGCAACUGUUUAUCAAAAACACAGGUCUCCGCUAAGUCGUAAGACGAUGUAUGGGGGCUGACGCCUGCCCAGUGCCAGAAGGUUAAAGAAGCUGGUUAGCAUUUGCGAAGCUAGUAACUGAAGCCCUGGUGAACGGCGGCCGUAACGAUAACGGUCCUAAGGUAGCGAAAUUCCUUGUCGGGUAAGUUCCGACCCGCACGAAAGGCGUAAUGAUUUGGAUACUGUCUCGGAGAGGGGCUCGGUGAAAUAGACUUGUCUGUGAAGAUGCGGACUACCUGCACCAGGACAGAAAGACCCUAUGAAGCUUUACUGUAACUUGAAAUUGAAAUUGGACUUUAUUCGCGCAGUAUAGGUGGGAGGCGUUGAUUAUAAUCUUGCGGGAUUAUUGGAGCCAUUAGUGAGAUACCACUCUUGUAAUGUUAGAUUUCUAACUUUGAAUCAUUAUCUGGUCAAAGAACAGUUUCAGGCGGGCAGUUUGACUGGGGCGGUCGCCUCCUAAACGGUAACGGAGGCGUACAAAGGUUUCCUCUGAACGGUUAGAAAUCGUAUCUAGAGUGUAAAGGCAUAAGGAAGCUUGACUGUGAGACCUACAAGUCGAGCAGGGACGAAAGUCGGUCUUAGUGAUCUGACGGUACUGAGUGGAAAGGCCGUCACUCAACGGAUAAAAGUUACUCUAGGAUAACAGGCUGAUCUCCCCCAAGAGUUCACAUCGACGGGGAGGUUUGGCACCUCGAUGUCGGCUCAUCGCAUCCUGGGGCGGUAGUACGUCCCAAGGGUUGGGCUGUUCGCCCAUGAAAGCGGUACGCGAGCUGGGUUCAGAACGUCGUGAGACAGUUCGGUCCAUAUCCGGUGUAGGCGUUAGAAUAUUGAGAGGAGCCUUCUUUAGUACGAGAGGACCGAGAAGGACAUACCUCUGGUGUACCAGUUAUCGUGCCAACGGUAAACGCUGGGUAGCUAUGUAUGGAGUGGAUAACCGCUGAAAGCAUCUAAGUGGGAAGCCCACCUCAAGAUAAGUAUUCUCAUC
rnacentral:rRNA from 1 species